UACAGAGGUCUCGAGCGUUAGGCGGAAUUACUGGGCUUAAAGCGUGUGUAGGCGGAUCGUUAAGUGCCUUGUGAAAUCCCACGGCUUAACCGUGGAACUGCUUGGCAUACUGGCGGUCUUGAGCAACCUAGGGGCGAGCGGAACAAAUGGUGGAGCGGUGAAAUGCGUAGAUAUCAUUUGGAACGCCAAUGGUGAAAACAGCUCGCUGGGGGUUUGCUGACGCUGAGACACGAAAGCCAGGGGAGCAAACGGG
rnacentral:rRNA from 1 species